rnacentral:lncRNA from 1 species
AAGAAGAAGGAGAGAAUUUUUCUCUCUCUCCUUUCUCUCUCUUUUCUCUCUCCUCUCUCUACCUUCUCUCUCUAUAUUUUCUCUCUCUAGAUUCUCUCUCUAGACUUUUUUCUCUCUUUACGGAUUUUGUCUCUCUGGGAUCUUUUCUUAUUCUCUGAUUGCAUCAUGAACCCUAGAAUAAACUUGAAGAUGAAAAUAAGAUGAUCUGAGGUUGCUCCAAAAUUCGUACGGUAGAUCUGAUCCCAGUUCGAUCCUAUUCAAAAUU